GAUGAACGCUAGCGGCAGGCUUAACACAUGCAAGUCGAGGGGUAACAGGGUUUAGUUUACUAGAUUGCUGACGACCGGCGCACGGGUGAGUAACGCGUAUACAAUUUACCUUUUACAGGGGGAUAGCCCAGAGAAAUUUGGAUUAAUACCCCAUAGUAUUAUUGACCGGCCUCGGUUGAUAAUUAAAGUUCCGACGGUAAAAGAUGAGUAUGCGUCCUAUUAGCUAGAUGGUGAGGUAACGGCUCACCAUGGCGACGAUAGGUAGGGGUCCUGAGAGGGGAGACUCCCCCAACUGGUACUGAGACACGGACCAGACUCCUACGGGAGCAGCAGUGAGGAUAUGGUCAAUGGAGGCAACUCUGAACCAGCCAUGCCGCGUGCAGGAAGACGGCCCUAUGGGUUU
rnacentral:rRNA from 1 species